rnacentral:rRNA from 1 species
UCCAGACUCCUACGGGAGGCAGCAGUGGGGAAUAUUGCACAAUGGGGGAAACCCUGAUGCAGCGACGCCGCGUGAGUGAAGAAGUAUUUCGGUAUGUAAAGCUCUAUCAGCAGGGAAGAAGAAAGACGGUACCUGACUAAGAAGCCCCGGCUAACUACGUGCCAGCAGCCGCGGUAAUACGUAGGGGGCAAGCGUUAUCCGGAUUUACUGGGUGUAAAGGGAGCGUAGACGGCUGUGCAAGUCUGAAGUGAAAGCCCAGGGCUCAACCCUGGGACUGCUUUGGAAACUGUGGAGCUAGAGUGCUGGAGAGGUAAGUGGAAUUCCUAGUGUAGCGGUGAAAUGCGUAGAUAUUAGGAGGAACACCAGUGGCGAAGGCGGCCUGCUGGACGAUGACUGACGUUGAGGCUCGAAAGCGUGGGGAGCAAACAGGAUUAGAUACCCCGGUAC